GAGAGAGAGAGAGAGAGAGUUUUUGAAGUAUCACCAUAUCAGUAACUUGAAAUCCAAUCUCCCUCUCAAGAGCUCACGUAGAUUUUUAACAUCUUUUUUGAGUCUACUAUCAGUUUUUUUCACUUUCUUUUUCAUACUUUCGACCUCAUAGUACAUAAAAAAAAAACUUUCUUUUGGUGAAAAUUUACAAGGGGAACCAAAAUAGCAUCUUCCAAGGAUAUCAAUGAAGCUUUGCAGUUCAGCUCGAAAGAUUUAGAGCCCAUUUCACUUGGAAUGGUAAUCUGGUGACCCAUUUCGUUUGAAGGAGGAAAUUCAAGCAUUUUGGGCUUAAAUAUUCUUGGUCCAUGGUAUGUUUGGGUGUUUCAUUUUGCUUUAUUUGGUAUCUGAGCUUUUAUUGAGGAGCUAAUUCUGAGUAUGAAUUGCUUUCUAGGAGUCCAUUGUAGAUCAAUUGCUUGCUUAACUGCAUUCUGGGUUUUUGGCUGUUUAAUACAUUGUUGAGAUUGAGGGAGUGAGUAAUUUAUUUAUUUAUUUUAAUGUGUCCUUAAAAUGAUUGAUUUGUGAUGUCUUAUUGAAGGGUUUAUGUACUUCAUCAAAUGGUAGAGACUUCUUAAGAUUACUAUUCAAGUUGGCUAAGAUUUAUUGCUCUACUCAUAGCUAUGGUGAUUAGUGGAAUGCACGAUGAGACUUCAGUUGAUUUGGUAGCUCCUUUUUGUAGUAAUUCUAAUACUAGAUUGGGAUUUUAAGGAGGUGAAUUUGGAGUUAGUAAUAUUGUUUUAGAUUCAUUUGGAAGGCAUCUAUAAGGUGAACAUUGUCUUCGGUCCCUAGAGCUAGAACAUUGCUAAAUGGGGAAGUCUGCCAGGUUCCUUUCUCCCUUGUCCAAGUCAUCAUCGUCUUCUCAAAACUUCCCAACAACUAGGGGAUUGUUCUCUUCUUUUCUUGGUUUAUCAGAUUCUUAAGCUUUUAUCAGAUUCUUGAGCUUUUGCUCUUGGUGUCUUUUCGCCUAGAUCUUCUAAAUCACUGGAAAGGUCAAAAGCUAAGGGGCAAGUUUGGAGGAGGACCCUUUUCCAUUUCUUAGUUUGUUUUGUGAUCAGGAUAUUUGUUGGACUUACUCCAUUUAUAUCAAUGAAUUUAUCAACAAAUCUUAUAUCAAAGAGCGAAGCCUUCUCUUUUGAGAUGGUAUCAACUGUUGGGAAAUUUCAGACUUUUGAAGGUAUGACUACAAACAGGACACAGACAGCUAAGAGUGAAGGUGCCAAGAACAAUAAUGCUACAUUGGAGCCAGAAGUGAAGGAAGUGAAACUAGCUAAUGUAGUUUCCAAUGAUGCACCCAUUAACCAGUCAAUCCCCGAAAAUUUGGAUCGAUAUGGCAUUUCAGAAGCUUUUGAUAGUUGUUACCGCAACAUAUGCUAGAACGUUUCAAGCCUACUAUUUGAAUCAUUUGGGAUACACAUUGAAACUGGUCCGACCUCCAUUGUUGUGGAAUGUCAUAUAAAUGACAUCCCAAUCUAAGCAAAUUGCUGACAUCCUAAGAAGAACUGGGAUUUUGUACAGGCAUCUUGUUUAUAAUAAAAAUUUAACUGAUAUAAAAGAUAGAAGUGUUCACCAAAGGAAUGUGGUUUUGACUCAUAUUGAAAAUCACCAUCUUGAUGGAAUUGUCUACUCUGUAGAUGACCGUAACAUUUACUCAGCUGAUCUUUUUGAGCAUAUGAGGCAGAUUAGGUAAACUUUGGUUACUCACUAACCAUUUCCCAUGUGCCCCUACUGUCUAAUUGCUACCCCUCUUGAAAUCUGCUAUAUUUAUAUUAUUGGGAACAUUUUUCCAUAUAUAGAUUCUUGCCUUAAUAAAAAAAAGGAUUUUAGAACCUUUAUAAAGGCAUAAGUAAUUCAUUCAAAAAUAUAUCAGCAGAUUCAAAUUGUCUAGUCUUCUAGUGAUGUGAAGGGCUUUAAAUGGCAUUCUGUCUGUUAGCUACAUAAUAGGAGCAGUUGUUAGUGGUGAUUUUCUACUUAUCAUAGUCUAAUGGCAUAAGUGUUACCUGAACAUUCCAUGACAAUAAAAAUUCUCAUGUAUAUUUCUGUCACUUGAUGUUUGAUGCUGUUUGUAUUGUUAAGUGUAUCUGUUAAAUCUGUGAUCUAUGUCUACAAGGAUCUAGAUAAAGUAGUAAAUCUAGAUAGAGUAGCAAAGGAAAACUAAUGAAGUGGGACAUAAAUUAGGAGAUCAAAGAAAUUAAACCUAGUCAAAAUAUAUUGUAAGAUUCAGUUGCAUAUAGGUACUAGGCUUUGAGACAGUUGUGAGAUGUCAAAUGCACAUAGCAACCUGAGAUAUUUUAGCUUCAUAGUUUCUGAUAACUGAUUGAAUUGUCUUCAUCUUUUAUUUUGUUGAUUAUAUUGCUUACAAUAGCUCAUUAAAUUUAUUUGCAUGAUUUCCAGUUGUUUGUUAUAUGCUUUUAGCACUCAUUAAUUCUAGGCUUUAUAGCAGUGUCGUGAGAGAUGGAUCAUUCCUUUCUCCCUUUUCAAAGAUGUGCAUCAUGACGUACAGAUUUCUCUGCACUUAUAAUUAGAGCGCCUAUCUUUUUUUUUUCCCUGGCAAGUGAUUUGGGACAUGGACAGUGGCCAAAGUAACAGUGAACAAAAGCAAAGGAGAGGGGCCCAUAUGUAAUGGAACUCGAGUUGUUGGAUGGCAUGUAAAUGAAUCAAGUAGGAGGUUUCAAAGGUUCCAUGCUGACAUGUCAGGCUUUGCCUUCAAUAGUACCAUACUUUGGGAUCAAAAGCGAUGGCACAAACCCACCCCUGAACCUAUUAGCCUGCUCGACACAGUCCAGAAUGGUUUAUAGGCAUCAUUGGCUUUGGUAUCAACUGGUAAUCCCAUUGACUUGUCUUGAAGGUUAGUACAUUCAUCGAGCAAGUUGUGGAAGAUGAGAGCCAACUGGAAGGCUUACUAGAGAACUGCUCAAGGGUCAUGGUUUGGAGUCUACAACUAGAAUUGUCUAAUUCCUUCUAUCCCCUGAAAUGGUUUACCAUUAGUAAUCUGGAUGUCAUUGCCCAGCUUGCAUGAAAUUCUUGACACAUGGGGAGCCUAUAUGAAUAGUAAGGUAGCUAAGUUUUCUUCUCAACUACUUAAAUGGAUUAAUAGUUUGAAACAUAGAAGAUACUUAGAUGAUAAAGGACAUGAAGCAAUCAUUUUUAGAAAUAAAAUAUUACAAUCAUCUUUAGAAAUGAAAUAAUACUUGCAUAGCUUUAGAAAUAAACUAUUGCUUGCAUGUCAUUGGAUUAUAGUCAUCAGCAAGUAAAAGCAAAUAAUAGAUGUGUGAGUACUCAUAAGCAACAAUAGACUAGGAAAAGCAAACUUGAAGUGCGAUGACAUUUCUCUCCUAUUGCUUUAAGUUGUUUUAUUCUAGGCCCAGCUUAAUACCAAUUUAAUUAUGAUGCAUGCUAAUUUAGGGAGGAUAUCACCACUGUCCUUGUUGGAUUGCCAAAAGAAUAACUUGUUGCCUAUUAUCUCCUGUUCUUGAAUCAGACUUAUACCGCGUGUAACAUUUCAGGCCUAUGCCAAACAUAUUAGGUAUCUGAACCCCUCUGAUCAACUUUACCAUGUCUUAAAAUCUUUGUGCAAGUAGAUUUUCUUGCAUAUAUCCAUUUAAAUGUUUUGUCUUGCCAUUAUCUCUCUCUCAAACUUUAUGUGUCAAUUAUUUAUAUUGUAGGAAGAAUCAAUCAACAAUCACGGGUAAUCCUCCAUGCAAUAAUAAAUGCUUCAUCUGGACAAAUGCCUGCCCUGUUUAGAAUUCCCAUCCUAGAUGCCUGAUUGAUAUAUUUGUUAUAUUCGAAUUGGCUAAAUAUUUGCAAAGACAUAAAGAUUGUCGUUGUACAGUUGUAUCAUUGUUCAUUUUGUGUUGCCGCUCUUUUCAAACAAGCGAUAAUUUUUUGACUAGUCAGGAAAUAUAUGGUCCAAAUGUAAACCAUCCUAUGAAUUAAACACAACUCAGAAGUGUCUUUCCCCCAUCUAAAAAUUUGAGCUGCCAUUUUUCCUUUUUCAUGCUUUGGCCAUUUGGGCAGUGUGCAAAACUCUGAGCAAUUUUGAAUCUCUAGUUGGUGUUGUGUCGUUUUGAUGUUCAUUUUCUAGACUUCACAAGUUCCUUUAACAUUUAGGGUAUCAUUUGGUCAUGAAUUCCAUUGACAUUAAGGUUACUGGUUAUACCAAGCUAGCUAAAAUCGAAACCCGAUUUAGUGAAUUAAAU
rnacentral:misc_RNA from 1 species